rnacentral:rRNA from 1 species
CUGGCGGCGUGCUUAACACAUGCAAGUCGAACGAAGUGGCAAACGGGUGAGUAACACGUAAACAACCUGCCUUCAGGAUGGGGACAACAGACGGAAACGACUGCUAAUACCGAAUACCUGAAGAGGGGUUUGCGUCUGAUUAGGUAGUUGGUGAGGUAACGGCCCACCAAGCCGACGAUCAGUAGCCGGUCUGAGAGGAUGAACGGCCACACUGGAACUGAGACACGGUCCAGACUCCUACGGGAGGCAGCAGUGGGGAAUCUUCCGCAAUGGGCGAAAGCCUGACGGAGCAACGCCGCGUGAGUGAUGACGGCCUUCGGGUUGUAAAGCUCUGUGAUCGGGGACGCGGUACCCGAAUAGCAAGCCACGGCUAACUACGUGCCAGCAGCCGCGGUAAUACGUAGGUGGCAAGCGUUGUCCGGAAUUAUUGGGCGUAAAGCGCGCGCAGGCGGUUCUUAAGUCCAUCUUAAAAGUGCGGGGCUUAACCCCGUGAUGGGAUGGAAACUGAGAGCUGGAGUAUCGGAGAGGAAAGUGGAAUUCCUAGUGUAGCGGUGAAAUGCGUAGAGAUUAGGAAGAACACCGGUGGCGAAGGCGACUUUCUGGAC